CAGUAGCCGACCUGAGAGGGUGAUCGGCCACAUUGGAACUGAGACACGGUCCAAACUCCUACGGGAGGCAGCAGGGGGGAAUAUUGCACAAUGGGCGAAAGCCUGAUGCAGCAACGCCGCGGGAGUGAUGAAGGCCUUCGGGUCGUACAUCCUUCUCCUCACGGACUAACACGACCGUCAUUAGCGAGAACGCCCCCGCAAA
rnacentral:rRNA from 1 species